AUGGAGGAUGAGGAUGAGGAUGAGGAUGAGGAUGAGAAUGAGGAGGUGGAAGUAGACGUGAAGGAGGAUGUGGAGCUGGAGAAGGACAUGGAAGAGGAGGAUGAAGAGGAGUUGGAGGAAGAUGAGAAGGAGCUGGAGGACGUGGAUGUGGAGGAGCUGAAGGACGCACAUGGCGCUGGCAAAGCACCCCAGCCCAAUGGUGACGAGGAGCCUGGCACGCCCCCGCUACCCAGCGCAGGGUGCAUGCUGGGCUCCUCGCCACCAGUGCCCAGACAGUCGGGCAGGACAGAGGUGUCCCUGCGGGCACUGGUGUCCCGGCUGCAGGCAGAGCUGGGGCAGCAGGAGGCAGUGUCGCGGGCGCUGGCAUCCCGGCUGGCGCGGGAGCAGCGGCGGCGCCGGCGUCGGGAGGAGGCCAGCGCCCGGCGAGCCCAGCUGUGGGCACAGGAGGCCGAGGCGCUGCGGGAGACCAACACCUUCCUGGGGCAGGCGCUGGCAGCAGCGGUGGCGGCGGGGGGUCCGGGGGCGCUGGCACAGGCACAGGAGGAGGCACGGGAAUGGCGGGAGGUGGCGGAGGAGCGGGGUGGCCGGCUGGCCGGGGCGCUGGCGGAGGUGGCAGCGCUGGCCUCGCGCCUGCAGGACUGCCAGACGGCACUGGCGGCGGCAGCAGGACAGACGGACACGCUGAAGGACACCAGUGCCUCUGACGAGGUGACCGCUGUGGAGGAGGUGCUGCGGCAGGCACUGGGGCUCGCCUGCGGCCCCCAGGAGACCCCACUGGGCCCCCAGGUGGACGGGGAGCCCAACACGGCCACCAGCAUGGCCAUGGUAUGGGCAAGCCUGAGGGAACCUCAUGGUGGGGUGAGGGUUCGGGGCACCAGGGCUGAGCUCCUGCUCUCCCGCAGCGCCUGGCCACCCUGGCCACUGCAGCGCAGGAGGAAGCCCAGCAGAGCCGACAGCAGCUCCAGGCCCAGAAGCAGGAGGUGGUUCGGCUGCAGGAGCAGCUCAGCAGGUUGGCUACCACCAUCCCCAGUCCCACCAAUGCAGGGUUUCCCUUGGGACUCACAUGGUGCCCUACUUGGAUCCAGGGGA
rnacentral:lncRNA from 1 species